rnacentral:lncRNA from 1 species
CCAGUUCGACUACGGAGUUGACGACCCCUCCUUCUUGCCAGAGCAACCAGGCAAGCCCCCCCCCCUUGAUCACCAGAUAUCGCCUACUCUUCUCUAUACUGCUUGCAUUAGAGUAGUGUAGCAUGUUACUACUUUCUGUUAUACCUAUCCUGAUGCAUAGCCUGUCCUUGUUACUACUGUUGUUACCUUUACCUGUUAUCCUAUAUGCUUAGUAUAGGAUGCUAGUAUUCCAUCUGUGGCCCUACAUUCUUGUCUGUCUGCUGUGCUAUACUAUCGGGCCGUGAUCACUCGAGAGGUGAUCACGGGUAUAUACUAUAUACUUUAUACAUGAUACAUGUGGAGACUAAAGUCGGGUCGGCUGGUGGAGCACCCGUGAGUGGAUCUUUGAGGCGGAGCGACAGGGCAGGUUGAGACCGCCUAGGAGAGAGGUGGGCCUGGCCCUGUUCGGCGUUCGCGGAUACUUAACACGCUUAACGAGAUCUUGGUAUUUGAUCUGAGUUGGCUACGAGCCUAUACGCACUAACCAUCUACGCGGGAGUAGUUAUGGGUAUCCCGACGUCGUGGUAUUAGCCGAAGCACUUCAGACGUCAGCGACGGAGCGGCGCGCGCCGGAUUGGAUUGGAACGCCACUAGGCUAGGUCUGCUUCCUGCCGCCCACGCAACGUGCAGGUGUGCUCAGGGCGAUGGUCCCAGACCCCUGCGCGCUUAGGUUUAGACCGGCGUGCUGGCCUCUCUAUUGUGCCUAGGUGGGGCUGCGACGUGUUGAUCUUCCGUGGCCGGGCAUGACCCAGGAAAGUGUGUCCGGCCAAAUGGGAUCAAGCGUGCUGGGUAAGUUGAUGCACCCCUGCAGGGAAGUUAAUCUAUUCGAAUAGCCGUGAUCUUCGGUAACAGGACGACUUGGAGUUGUACCUUGACCUUAUGACAACUAGAACCGAAUACUUAAUAAAACACACCCUUCCAAGUUCCACAGACAACCUGGUGAUCGCUUUUCCACAGGGCGACGAGGGGAGGAUCGCCAGGUAGGGUUAUGCUAUGCGAUGCUACUGGAGAUGCUACUUGGAGAUGCUAUUUGGAGAUGCUACUUGGAGAUGCUACUUGGAGGACUUCAAUCUACUCUCUUCUACAUGCUGUAAGGCGGAGGCUGCCAGAAGCGUAGUCUUCGACAGGAUUAGAUAUCCCCCUCUUAUUCUGGCAUUCUGCAGUUCAGUCCACUGAUAUGGCCUCCUUACACAUAUACCCAUGCAUAUGUAGUGUAGCUCCUUGCUUGCGAGUACUUUGGAUGAGUACUCAUGGUUGCUUUUCUCCCUCUUUUCCCCCUUUCCCUUCUACCUGGUUGUCGCAACCAGAUGCUGGAGCCCUGGAGCCAGACGCCACCAUCGACGAUGACCCCCUACUACACCGGAGGUGCCUACUACUACGUGCAGCCCGCUGACGACGACCAGGAGUAGUUAGGAGGAUCCCAGGCAGGAGGCCUGCGCCUCUUUCGAUCUGUAUCCCAGUUUGUGCUA